UAACAAGGAUUCCCUCAGUAACGGCGAGUGAAGCGGGAAGAGCUCAAAUUUAAAAUCUGGUUUGCUUGCAAGCCCGAGUUGUAGUCUGAAGAAACGUUUUCCAUAAGCACUGAGGCAAAAGUCCCUUGGAACAGGGCAUCAUAGAGGGUGAGAAUCCCGUCCAUGGUCUCAAGUCGUUUAUUUUGUGAUACGUUUUCAAAGAGUCAGGUUGUUUGGGAAUGCAGCCUAAAAUGGGUGGUAAAUUUCAUCUAAAGCUAAAUAUUGGCGAGAGACCGAUAGCGAACAAGUACCGUGAGGGAAAGAUGAAAAGAACUUUGAAAAGAGAGUUAAAAAGUACGUGAAAUUGUUGAAAGGGAACCGUUUGAAGCCAGUCUUACUUGCCUGUGAUCAAUUUUUGCYUCGGCAUGAAUGCACUCUCGGGUAUGGUAGGCCAACGACAGUUUGGAAUGCGAGAAAAAAAUAGGGGAAAUGUGGCCUUCGGGUGUUAUAGUCCCUUAUAAAAUAUCGUGUUCUGGACUGAGGAUCGCAGCAAAAAUGUGGGCAGGUGGAUUUCUGUGGUAACUGUCGGUUAGGACAACUUGUUGACCUAGUCUUCCUUAGCCUCACUAUUUACCUCGCUUCUAAUUUGCUUAGGUCGUUGGCAUAAUGGCUUUAAAUGA
rnacentral:rRNA from 1 species